rnacentral:tRNA from 1 species
GUAAAUAUAGUUUAAAAAAAACAUUAGAUUGUGGAUCUAAUAAUAGAAGCUUACAUCUCCUUAUUUACC